rnacentral:rRNA from 1 species
ACUCCUGCGGGAGGCAGCAGUGGGGAAUAUUGCACAAUGGGCGCAAGCCUGAUGCAGCGACGCCGCGUGGGGGAUGAAGGCCUUCGGGUUGUAAACUCCUUUCGCUAGGGACGAAGCUUUUUUGUGACGGUACCUAGAUAAGAAGCACCGGCUAACUACGUGCCAGCAGCCGCGGUAAUACGUAGGGUGCGAGCGUUGUCCGGAAUUACUGGGCGUAAAGGGCUCGUAGGUGGUUUGUCGCGUCGUCUGUGAAAUUCUGGGGCUUAACUCCGGGCGUGCAGGCGAUACGGGCAUAACUUGAGUGCUGUAGGGGUAACUGGAAUUCCUGGUGUAGCGGUGAAAUGCGCAGAUAUCAGGAGGAACACCGAUGGCGAAGGCAGGUUACUGGGCAGUUACUGACGCUGAGGAGCGAAAGCAUGGGUAGCGAACAGGAUUAGAUACCCCAGUAGUCCCAUGA